rnacentral:rRNA from 1 species
AGAGUUUGAUCCUGGCUCAGGACGAACGCUGGCGGCGUGCUUAACACAUGCAAGUCGAACGGUGACGGAGGAGCUUGCUCCUCUUGAUCAGUGGCGAACGGGUGAGUAACACGUGAGCAAUCUGCCCCUGACUCUGGGAUAACCUCGGGAAACCGAAGCUAAUACCGGAUACGAAGCGCGAAGGCAUCUUCAGCGCUUGGAAAGAAUUUCGGUCAGGGAUGAGCUCGCGGCCUAUCAGUUAGUUGGUGAGGUAACGGCUCACCAAGACGACGACGGGUAGCCGGCCUGAGAGGGUGACCGGCCACACUGGGACUGAGACACGGCCUAGACUCCUACGGGAGGCAGCAGUGGGGAAUAUUGCACAAUGGGCGCAAGCCUGAUGCAGCAACGCCGCGUGAGGGAUGACGGCCUUCGGGUUGUAAACCUCUUUUAGCAGGGAAGAAGCGAAAGUGACGGUACCUGCAGAAAAAGCACCGGCUAACUACGUGCCAGCAGCCGCGGUAAUACGUAGGGUGCAAGCGUUGUCCGGAAUUAUUGGGCGUAAAGAGCUCGUAGGCGGUUUGUCGCGUCUGCUGUGAAAACGCGAGGCUCAACCUCGCGCCUGCAGUGGGUACGGGCAAACUAGAGUGCGGUAGGGGAGAUUGGAAUUCCUGGUGUAGCGGUGGAAUGCGCAGAUAUCAGGAGGAACACCGAUGGCGAAGGCAGAUCUCUGGGCCGUAACUGACGCUGAGGAGCGAAAGCGUGGGGAGCGAACAGGAUUAGAUACCCUAGUAGUCC